rnacentral:lncRNA from 1 species
CGUCUUUAGGUGCGACUACAUUGAGUAUAUAUGAGGGGCAAUACAUGAGAGUCCUUAAAGGACAAGUAAACGAGUUGUACUCAUACACGUCGGUACCAACGCAAAGGCCCAUACCGUUUAUACUACGUUUAGUCCAAUACGAUAGAAUUUGAAUCAUAAUUUAGCAGUGUUAGCGCUCUACAUGCACUGAGCAUAAAAAGUCGUGGAG